CAUACACACAUAUAUACAUACAUACUUAUUUUUUUCUUUUUUUUAAUUGGGGUAGCCCCCAAAAUAUUGGGACAUAUAAAAAAAAAAAAAAAGAGAAUAAGUGCACUUGAGUAUAACAAUGGCUGGGCGAGGCCGGUAUAAAUGUCUAUUCUGCACAAGGUACAGACAAGUCUGGUGGGAUCCAUGCCUGGUUCAUUUUAAUAAACGUGAGCUUGUCCGUUGCACUUGUCUGUGAUAACCUCAUGCCGAUCGCACAUCCCUUUGACGGCGACAACGUAUUUGGAUGUCUGCCCUAUCAACUUUCAAUGCUAUUUUCCGCGCCUACCAUAGUGACCACGGGUAACGGGGAAUCAGGGUUCGUUUCCAGAGAGAGAGCCUGAGAAACGGCUACCACAUGCAAGAAAGGCAGCAGGCGUGCAAAUUAACCACUCCCGACGCAGGGAGGUA